rnacentral:pre_miRNA from 1 species
AGUGGGAUAGCUGGGUCAAAUGGUGGUUCCAUUCCAUUUCCAAGGAAUUUCUAUACUGCUUUCCAGAUUGGUUGCACCAAUUUGCAGUCCCACCAGCAGU